CGGACUCACAGAGAAGAAACGUCUGCCCCUACCAGCGGGUGGUCCCCAGCACCCACUCAUCCACUCUCCUCACUCCAGAUCUUCUCUUCCUCAUAGUGGUAUCGGAUCUCUCUUGUCCCACCUAUGGCUGAAGCAAGAGGAGCUGAAAAAGUUCAGUGGUUGCUUUCCGUGAUCUCCGGGCACGGGCUGUGACACCAGCUCAUCCAUCUGGCCGCUCUCACCAGAGAUCUGAGUUUGGAGAUGCACCAUGGCACACGGGAGACCUGAAGGAAUAGCAGGUGGCGGGUGCUUACGUGUGAGACCGAGAUGGAGAAGUAGACAUAGAUCAGACUGUGGAAGUCUGGGUCGGCCACGCUCCUCACACCACAGUCAGACAUCAGCGUUGAUUUCAUGAUGCCGUUGCUCCAAAUGGAUGCUUCAGUGGUAACAAUGACAGCAGUGUAACAGUAACACCACUCGGACAGUAAGAAUAACAACAGCUAAUGUUAAUGUAGCCCUUACUAUGUGCCAGCCUCUGUUCUAAACAUUUUACCUAUCUUCACUCAUUUAAUGUCCACAAACAUCCUACAGGGAGGUGUGAUUGAGAUUAUCUCAUUUUACGGAUGAAAAAACCGAGACAGAGUCAGAGUCAGUGACUUGCCAGAUGUCACAUAACAUCCCCACUACAUCCAAUAUGAACUUGACCCCACAGUCAAUCCCUGGUGCCCGCUUCAUCUUCAUUUCACGCUGUUCCCCAUGCAGUCCGUGUUAGUCUGCUGACUCACACACAAACGGAGCCCAUUCUUCCCCUGGGCCUCACACACAUGGUUUGUGGCUUUCUCUUCUUCCCUCACACAGCAUAUAUGAUUCUACUUAUCUGAAAUGUCCAGAAUAAGCAGACCCACAGACAGAAAGCAGGCUUUGGAGGGCGCAGGGCUGCCCACCUCACCUGGCCCACAAAAAGUGCCAGUGGCUGUGAGCACCCUGGCCAGAUAAAGCCCUUUGCCCUUUUCCUUCCCACCCUCUUCUGGAGCCUGGUGCAGCUCCCAGAAACAAGGAAUUCUGCGAGGAGGAAACGUUCCUAUGAAGGGAUCUGAGCUUCCAGAAGAAAAUGAUUGUUUCACCACGGGCAAAACAACAGGGAAGGUAGAAACACCCCAAAAGUCUGGCCACAACACGGAUAAACCUUCAAAACAUG